UUCAUGUUGUAUGAUGAAAACAUAGUUCAUUUGAAUUAGUAUGAAAUUAGCAUUAAUGCAAUUGUCUUUCGCUCCUAUCUGAAACAUGAG
rnacentral:snoRNA from 1 species